CCUACGGGAGGCAGCAGUAGGGAAUAUUGGACAAUGGGCACAAGCCUGAUCCAGCCAUCCCGCGUGCAGGAUGAAGGUCCUAUGGAUUGUAAACUGCUUUUAUCAGGGAAGAAACCUUGGGAUUCAUCCCAAGUUGACGGUACCUGAGGAAUAAGCACCGGCUAACUCCGUGCCAGCAGCCGCGGUAAUACGGAGGGUGCAAGCGUUAUCCGGAUUUACUGGGUUUAAAGGGUGCGUAGGUGGUCUUGUAAGUCAGCGGUAAAAGCUCGGAGCUCAACUCCGAAAUUGCCAUUGAUACUGCAAGGCUUGAGUACAGUUGAGGUAGGCGGAAUAUGUCAUGUAGCGGUGAAAUGCUUAGAUAUGACAUAGAACACCAAUUGCGAAGGCAGCUUGCUAAACUGAAACUGACACUGAGGCACGAAAGCGUGGGGAUCAAACAGGAUUAGAUACCCUGGUAGUCCACGCCCUAAACGAUGCUAACUCGUAUUUGUCGAUAUACAGUCAGAGUACCGAACGGGAAACCGGAACGUAAGUUAAGUACCGACCCGUCGGGGUAGGUACCGGUCCCGGCCGAGGAGUAGAAACGUUAAAACGGUAAACGUUAGUACGGUCGUGAGACGUAGCCGACGGACGACCGACGAGGGGAGGAGGG
rnacentral:rRNA from 1 species